GACGGGAAGGAACAAAGCACGUGAUUCACCUUCUGUUUGGAAAGGGACAAGGCUAUUUGUGGUACUUUUUUCAGUAUUAAGUCAUGCACUUUCAGCCUGUCUAAUGUAGACAACACACCAGACAUUAAAUCAGGGAGAAGUGCAGCGUUUCGUAGAGGUGCUGCACAGACCCAAGACACCGAAACCUGCCGUUGACCAUGAUGGCCAUCCUGGUGCAAAGUGCCUCGCACUCCUCCAUGCUGACAAUACAAACAUUUAGAGACAGCACUGAAUCAUCACCAGGAAUAUGACAGGUGGAGACCCGAUGAGGGAGAUAGCUGUGGAGAGUUUCCUCUUGUUGCCCCCGCUGUAGCCUCCAGCCUCCUGAUCUGC